rnacentral:rRNA from 1 species
AGAGUUUGAUCAUGGCUCAGAUUGAACGCUGGCGGCAGGCCUAACACAUGCAAGUCGAACGGUAACAGGAAGAAGCUUGCUUCUUUGCUGACGAGUGGCGGACGGGUGAGUAAUGUCUGGGAAACUGCCUGAUGGAGGGGGAUAACUACUGGAAACGGUAGCUAAUACCGCAUAACGUCGCAAGACCAAAGAGGGGGACCUUCGGGCCUCUUGCCAUCGGAUGUGCCCAGAUGGGAUUAGCUAGUAGGUGGGGUAACGGCUCACCUAGGCGACGAUCCCUAGCUGGUCUGAGAGGAUGACCAGCCACACUGGAACUGAGACACGGUCCAGACUCCUACGGGAGGCAGCAGUGGGGAAUAUUGCACAAUGGGCGCAAGCCUGAUGCAGCCAUGCCGCGUGUAUGAAGAAGGCCUUCGGGUUGUAAAGUACUUUCAGCGGGGAGGAAGGGAGUAAAGUUAAUACCUUUGCUCAUUGACGUUACCCGCAGAAGAAGCACCGGCUAACUCCGUGCCAGCAGCCGCGGUAAUACGGAGGGUGCAAGCGUUAAUCGGAAUUACUGGGCGUAAAGCGCACGCAGGCGGUUUGUUAAGUCAGAUGUGAAAUCCCCGGGCUCAACCUGGGAACUGCAUCUGAUACUGGCAAGCUUGAGUCUCGUAGAGGGGGGUAGAAUUCCAGGUGUAGCGGUGAAAUGCGUAGAGAUCUGGAGGAAUACCGGUGGCGAAGGCGGCCCCCUGGACGAAGACUGACGCUCAGGUGCGAAAGCGUGGGGAGCAAACAGGAUUAGAUACCCUGGUAGUCCACGCCGUAAACGAUGGAUACUAGGUGUGGGGGGUCUGACCCCCUCCGUGCCGCAGUUAACACAAUAAGUAUCCCACCUGGGGAGUACGAUCGCAAGGUUGAAACUCAAAGGAAUUGACGGGGGCCCGCACAAGCGGUGGAGCAUGUGGUUUAAUUCGAUGCAACGCGAAGAACCUUACCUGGUCUUGACAUCCACGGAAGUUUUCAGAGAUGAGAAUGUGCCUUCGGGAACCGUGAGACAGGUGCUGCAUGGCUGUCGUCAGCUCGUGUUGUGAAAUGUUGGGUUAAGUCCCGCAACGAGCGCAACCCUUAUCCUUUGUUGCCAGCGGUCCGGCCGGGAACUCAAAGGAGACUGCCAGUGAUAAACUGGAGGAAGGUGGGGAUGACGUCAAGUCAUCAUGGCCCUUACGACCAGGGCUACACACGUGCUACAAUGGCGCAUACAAAGAGAAGCGACCUCGCGAGAGCAAGCGGACCUCAUAAAGUGCGUCGUAGUCCGGAUUGGAGUCUGCAACUCGACUCCAUGAAGUCGGAAUCGCUAGUAAUCGUGGAUCAGAAUGCCACGGUGAAUACGUUCCCGGGCCUUGUACACACCGCCCGUCACACCAUGGGAGUGGGUUGCAAAAGAAGUAGGUAGCUUAACCUUCGGGAGGGCGCUUACCACUUUGUGAUUCAUGACUGGGGUGAAGUCGUAACAAGGUAACCGUAGGGGAACCUGCGGUUG